UACGAAGGGGGCUAGCGUUGCUCGGAAUUACUGGGCGUAAAGCGUGCGUAGACGGUUAUUUAAGUCGGGUGUGAAAGCCCCGGGCUCAACCUGGGAAUUGCAUUCGAGACUGAAUAGCUAGGGUACGGUAGAGGGAAGCGGAAUUUCCGGUGUAGCGGUGAAAUGCGUAGAUAUCGGAAGGAACAUCAGUGGCGAAAGCGGCUUCCUGGACCAGUACCGACGUUCAGGCACGAAAGCGUGGGGAGCAAACAGG
rnacentral:rRNA from 1 species